rnacentral:tRNA from 2 species
AGCAUAAAUUUUACUAUGUUACGGCCAUAGUUUCGGUGGCGCUUGUCACCUUAUGCUU